ACUGUAAGAUGGAUACAAAUACCCUCGAAACACAAUGGUAGAGGUCAUACAUAGGGGUGAGAAAGAUGAUGAUGGGAGGAAGAUGAUGUGGGCAGGGGUCGCUCGCCCCUUGCCCUACAAGUAGGGCAUGCGCAGACUGUUGCCAUGAGGUAAUGAUCAGGCGGUGUUUGGCUGCCACUCAGGCAUCACCUUAUACUGCGUACUGGCCCUACGUAGUGUAAUGUGGAACUGAUAAAAAUGGGGUGUUGAGACUGCUGAGUUGAGCGAUACUCAUCCUACCACUGAGACUGUGUUGCUCCGCGGGGACGCCCGUUAAGCAUGUGUACUGACCAACUGCUGCAGAUCCUGACAGCCCUGGCCUGUCUGUGUGGCGACCACCAGGCGACGGUGGUGGUGAUGGAGCUUGGCGUAGCUGAGAGCAGCGGGGACGCUGCUUGGUCUGGACCUGAGAGCUAUUGACAUCUGGAAAAGGGAUUCAGAAGGAAGGGUGUCAUUAUUUGGGCUGGAUGAAUUCUCAAAUCAUGGCAGGCUGUCUUUGUCUCCGGCCCGGACCUGCUGCGUUCUCAUCGGAGAGUUUUUGUGCUCACUGGGAGAAGAAAGGAGGAGUCUUAGGACACCGUCAUCUGAGGACAACAGUGAGUUCCGUGGGGGUGAACUGUUUUCCUUUCCCCCUUCUCCCAUUGGGGAAGGGUCCCCAUUCUCUUUUCGGCUUCUCCCGCGACCCGAGACC